CAUGUACGUACACGAUGUAAAACGGCAUAUGUUCGCAAAUAUGUUUUUAUACCGGAUGCGCGUGUAUAAUGUAUGUACAUGGUUAGUGUGCACCCAGUGUAUACAUCGCUCACGCGUUUACGCGUACCCAAAACAUCCGAAUGGGACGUCUGCGUCACCGCCGCCAUUGUAAAUUAAUAAUGUUGUUAUUACUUUUUUUUUUUUUAACAAUCCAUAUAUGUUUCUCCAGUACUCUCUGCCCGUAGUGACUUCCUUCAAUUCUUUAUAGGAUCCUUUAUUCUUGAAUCGAACAUAAUCGUUUACAAGACUGUUUCGGUCUUCCUCUUCCGUUUUCCUUACAAUUUUUCAUUGCAAUUAUAGAAGUUAUCCGU